GCCUGCCGCUUUAAUGGCUUUCUUGUUUAAUUUGACAGCGGUAGCACCAGCUCUCUGCAGAUGGAAGUAACGGGACAGAUGAAGAAAAGGUCCAGGGAUGAAGUUCAUGUCUCGGUGUAGGGCAGCUGAAAUUGCCAUAGAAAACCUGCUGGCUUUAUGACCAGAGGAAGAGAGGAGCCUGUGGUAGCUACAGCUUAAGGGAAGAAGAGAGAGCCAGAAAAUGGAAGCCCUAGCGAACGUUCAGUGUCAAGUGGCUUCCAGUUCUGCAGAGCACCCUUUCAUCAUGCUGAAAUGCGACUGGCCUCCUGUGUCUUCUCUCCCCAGGCAUUGCUCUUAUUUCACCUGGUUCUUGUCUGUCCCAUUUUGUGCAGUCAUUUCUAGGCUCCUUUGAAAUUU